rnacentral:tRNA from 1 species
UUUAACUUAGUAUAAGGUAAAUUACCUCUUAUUUACAAUAAGCUAAUGUUUUUAAACAGUUAAAA